rnacentral:RNase_P_RNA from 1 species
UUUGCGAGCCAUUUGAUCGCGCAUGAAAAUGUGAGGAAAGUCCGAGCUCCAUAGGGCAAGAAUGCCGGAUAACGUCCGGUGAAGGCAACUUUAAGGAAAGUGCAACAGAAAGCAAACCGCCGCCUUGUCGGUAAGGAUGAAAGCGUGAGGUAAGAGCUCACGUAAUGUGCAGGCAACUGCAUGUUAUGUAAACCCCAUUCGGAGCAAGACCAAGCAAGAACCGAAAAGCAGCGGCCCGUUGCGGUUCGUGGUAGGUCGCAUAAGCAUGUUGGCGACAAUGUGCUCAGAUAGAUGAUCAUUAAUACAGAACUCGGCUUAUUCGCUCGCAAAUGCU